GUUGUUCAUGACCACCAUCGGCAUCCACGCUCCGGAUCUGGGCAGGGAGGGACCGAUAUGGGAUUGGAGAUUCGGGCCCAUGGCGUGGCGGCGCGUCCUCUCCCUGGGUUUCAAAAAUUCGAGUACUUGAAUUCUCUGCAAGCACGAUGCAUUGUGUGGAUUUUUAUCUUAGGUACACAAGUUUUUCUUCAUGGAUCCAACUACAUGAACAUAGAGGUAGAUCACGAUGACGAGCAC